AGAGUUUGAUCAUGGCUCAGAUUGAACGCUGGCGGCAGGCCUAACACAUGCAAGUCGAGCGGAUGACGGGAGCUUGCUCCUUGAUUCAGCGGCGGACGGGUGAGUAAUGCCUAGGAAUCUGCCUGGUAGUGGGGGACAACGUUUCGAAAGGAACGCUAAUACCGCAUACGUCCUACGGGAGAAAGCAGGGGACCUUCGGGCCUUGCGCUAUCAGAUGAGCCUAGGUCGGAUUAGCUAGUUGGUGAGGUAAUGGCUCACCAAGGCGACGAUCCGUAACUGGUCUGAGAGGAUGAUCAGUCACACUGGAACUGAGACACGGUCCAGACUCCUACGGGAGGCAGCAGUGGGGAAUAUUGGACAAUGGGCGAAAGCCUGAUCCAGCCAUGGCCGCGUGUGUGAAGAAGGUCUUCGGAUUGUAAAGCACUUUAAGUUGGGAGGAAGGGCAGUAAGUUAAUACCUUGCUGUUUUGACGUUACCGACAGAAUAAGCACCGGCUAACUCUGUGCCAGCAGCCGCGGUAAUACAGAGGGUGCAAGCGUUAAUCGGAAUUACUGGGCGUAAAGCGCGCGUAGGUGGUUCGUUAAGUUGGAUGUGAAAGCCCCGGGCUCAACCUGGGAACUGCAUCCAAAACUGGCGAGCUAGAGUACGGUAGAGGGUGGCGGAAUUUCCUGUGUAGCGGUGAAAUGCGUAGAUAUAGGAAGGAACACCAGUGGCGAAGGCGACCACCUGGACUGAUACUGACAC
rnacentral:rRNA from 1 species